AGCGUACACGGUGGAUGCCCUGGCAGUCAGAGGCGAUGAAGGACGUGCUAAUCUGCGAUAAGCGUCGGUAAGGUGAUAUGAACCGUUAUAACCGGCGAUUUCCGAAUGGGGAAACCCAGUGUGUUUCGACACACUAUCAUUAACUGAAUCCAUAGGUUAAUGAGGCGAACCGGGGGAACUGAAACAUCUAAGUACCCCGAGGAAAAGAAAUCAACCGAGAUUCCCCCAGUAGCGGCGAGCGAACGGGGAGCAGCCCAGAGCCUGAAUCAGUGUGUGUGUUAGUGGAAGCGUCUGGAAAGGCGCGCGAUACAGGGUGACAGCCCCGUACACAAAAAUGCACAUGCUGUGAGCUCGAUGAGUAGGGCGGGACACGUGGUAUCCUGUCUGAAUAUGGGGGGACCAUCCUCCAAGGCUAAAUACUCCUGACUGACCGAUAGUGAACCAGUACCGUGAGGGAAAGGCGAAAAGAACCCCGGCGAGGGGAGUGAAAAAGAACCUGAAACCGUGUACGUACAAGCAGUGGGAGCACGCUUAGGCGUGUGACUGCGUACCUUUUGUAUAAUGGGUCAGCGACUUAUAUUCUGUAGCAAGGUUAACCGAAUAGGGGAGCCGAAGGGAAACCGAGUCUUAACUGGGCGUUAAGUUGCAGGGUAUAGACCCGAAACCCGGUGAUCUAGCCAUGGGCAGGUUGAAGGUUGGGUAACACUAACUGGAGGACCGAACCGACUAAUGUUGAAAAAUUAGCGGAUGACUUGUGGCUGGGGGUGAAAGGCCAAUCAAACCGGGAGAUAGCUGGUUCUCCCCGAAAGCUAUUUAGGUAGCGCCUCGUGAAUUCAUCUCCGGGGGUAGAGCACUGUUUCGGCAAGGGGGUCAUCCCGACUUACCAACCCGAUGCAAACUGCGAAUACCGGAGAAUGUUAUCACGGGAGACACACGGCGGGUGCUAACGUCCGUCGUGAAGAGGGAAACAACCCAGACCGCCAGCUAAGGUCCCAAAGUCAUGGUUAAGUGGGAAACGAUGUGGGAAGGCCCAGACAGCCAGGAUGUUGGCUUAGAAGCAGCCAUCAUUUAAAGAAAGCGUAAUAGCUCACUGGUCGAGUCGGCCUGCGCGGAAGAUGUAACGGGGCUAAACCAUGCACCGAAGCUGCGGCAGCGACGCUUAUGCGUUGUUGGGUAGGGGAGCGUUCUGUAAGCCUGUGAAGGUGUGCUGUGAGGCAUGCUGGAGGUAUCAGAAGUGCGAAUGCUGACAUAAGUAACGAUAAAGCGGGUGAAAAGCCCGCUCGCCGGAAGACCAAGGGUUCCUGUCCAACGUUAAUCGGGGCAGGGUGAGUCGACCCCUAAGGCGAGGCCGAAAGGCGUAGUCGAUGGGAAACAGGUUAAUAUUCCUGUACUUGGUGUUACUGCGAAGGGGGGACGGAGAAGGCUAUGUUGGCCGGGCGACGGUUGUCCCGGUUUAAGCGUGUAGGCUGGUUUUCCAGGCAAAUCCGGAAAAUCAAGGCUGAGGCGUGAUGACGAGGCACUACGGUGCUGAAGCAACAAAUGCCCUGCUUCCAGGAAAAGCCUCUAAGCAUCAGGUAACAUCAAAUCGUACCCCAAACCGACACAGGUGGUCAGGUAGAGAAUACCAAGGCGCUUGAGAGAACUCGGGUGAAGGAACUAGGCAAAAUGGUGCCGUAACUUCGGGAGAAGGCACGCUGAUAUGUAGGUGAAGUCCCUUGCGGAUGGAGCUGAAAUCAGUCGAAGAUACCAGCUGGCUGCAACUGUUUAUUAAAAACACAGCACUGUGCAAACACGAAAGUGGACGUAUACGGUGUGACGCCUGCCCGGUGCCGGAAGGUUAAUUGAUGGGGUUAGCGCAAGCGAAGCUCUUGAUCGAAGCCCCGGUAAACGGCGGCCGUAACUAUAACGGUCCUAAGGUAGCGAAAUUCCUUGUCGGGUAAGUUCCGACCUGCACGAAUGGCGUAAUGAUGGCCAGGCUGUCUCCACCCGAGACUCAGUGAAAUUGAACUCGCUGUGAAGAUGCAGUGUACCCGCGGCAAGACGGAAAGACCCCGUGAACCUUUACUAUAGCUUGACACUGAACAUUGAGCCUUGAUGUGUAGGAUAGGUGGGAGGCUUGGAAGUGUGGACGCCAGUCUGCAUGGAGCCGACCUUGAAAUACCACCCUUUAAUGUUUGAUGUUCUAACGUGGACCCGUGAUCCGGGUUGCGGACAGUGUCUGGUGGGUNAUCCGGGUUGCGGACAGUGUCUGGUGGGUAGUUUGACUGGGGCGGUCUCCUCCUAAAGAGUAACGGAGGAGCACGAAGGUUGGCUAAUCCUGGUCGGACAUCAGGAGGUUAGUGCAAUGGCAUAAGCCAGCUUGACUGCGAGCGUGACGGCGCGAGCAGGUGCGAAAGCAGGUCAUAGUGAUCCGGUGGUUCUGAAUGGAAGGGCCAUCGCUCAACGGAUAAAAGGUACUCCGGGGAUAACAGGCUGAUACCGCCCAAGAGUUCAUAUCGACGGCGGUGUUUGGCACCUCGAUGUCGGCUCAUCACAUCCUGGGGCUGAAGUAGGUCCCAAGGGUAUGGCUGUUCGCCAUUUAAAGUGGUACGCGAGCUGGGUUUAGAACGUCGUGAGACAGUUCGGUCCCUAUCUGCCGUGGGCGCUGGAGAACUGAGGGGGGCUGCUCCUAGUACGAGAGGACCGGAGUGGACGCAUCACUGGUGUUCGGGUUGUCAUGCCAAUGGCACUGCCCGGUAGCUAAAUGCGGAAGAGAUAAGUGCUGAAAGCAUCUAAGCACGAAACUUGCCCCGAGAUGAGUUCU
rnacentral:rRNA from 1 species